rnacentral:rRNA from 1 species
UAGAGUUUGAUCCUGGCUCAGGAUAAACGCUGGCGGCGUGCCUAACACAUGCAAGUCGAACGCUCUACGCAAGUAGAGAAGUGGCGGACGGGUGAGGAACACGUGGGUAUCUGCCUUUCGGUGAGGAAUACCGGCGAGAAAUCGCCGACAAUACCGCAUACGCUCAGCAGUGAGCAAAGUCGCAAGACGCCGGGAGAUGAGCCUGCGCCCGAUUAGCUGGUUGGUGGGGUAAAGGCCUACCAAAGCGACGAUCGGUAGCUGGUCUGAGAGGACGAUCAGCCACACUGGGAUUGAGAACGGCCCAGACUCCUACGGGGGGCAGCAGUGAGGAAUUUUCGUCAAUGGGGGAAACCCUGAACGAGCAACGCCGCGUGCAGGAAGAAGGUCUUCGGAUCGUAAACUGCUUUUCUCUGGGACGAGAACGGACGGUACCAGAGGAAGAAGCCCCGGCUAACUACGUGCCAGCAGCCGCGGUAA